rnacentral:rRNA from 1 species
GACGAACGCUGGCGGCGUGCUUAACACAUGCAAGUCGAACGCUGAAGCUCAGCUUUUGUUGGGUGGAUGAGUGGCGAACGGGUGAGUAACACGUGAGUAACCUGCCUCCUUCUUUGGGAUAACGCCCGGAAACGGGUGCUAAUACUGGAUAUUCACUGGUCUUCGCAUGGGGGUUGGUGGAAAGGGUUUUUCUGGUGGGGGAUGGGCUCGCGGCCUAUCAGCUUGUUGGUGGGGUGAUGGCCUACCAAGGCUUAGACGGGUAGCCGGCCUGAGAGGGUGACCGGUCACAUUGGGACUGAGAUACGGCCGAGACUCCGACGGGGGGCAGCAGUGGGGAAUAUGGCACAAUGGGGGAAAGUGUGAUGCAGCGACGCGGCGUGAGGGAUGGAGGCCUUCGGGUUGUGAACCUCUUUCGCUCAUGGUCAAGCCGCAACAAUGGUUGUGGUGAGGGUAGUGGGUAAAGAAGCGCCGGCUAACUACGUG